rnacentral:tRNA from 1 species
GCACUGGUGGCUCAGUGAUAGACUUCUCGCCUUCCACGCGGGAGACCUGGGUUCAGUCCCCAGCCAAUUCA